GACUUUAAGUUAAACAAACUAAAGACCUUCAAAGUCUUAAAUGGCCACUCGCCAAGUCUUG
rnacentral:tRNA from 1 species